UAGGGAAUAUUGCGCAAUGGGCGAAAGCCUGACGCAGCGACGCCGCGUGAGUGAUGAAGGCCUUCGGGUCGUAAAGCUCUGUCGCAGGGGAAUAACACAAUGAAUGUACCCUGAAAGAAAGGAUCGGCUAACUUCGUGCCAGCAGCCGCGGUAAGACGAGGGAUCCAAGCGUUGUUCGGAAUCAUUGGGCGUAAAGCGGGUGUAGGUGGCUUUGUAAGUCGGGUGUGAAAGCCCAGGGCUCAACCCUGGAAGUGCAUUCGAUACUGCGAAGCUUGAGUGUAGGAGAGGUUACUAGAAUUCUUGGUGUAGUGGUGAAAUACGUAGAUAUCAAGAGGAAUACCGGAGGCGAAGGCGGGUAACUGGCCUAACACUGACACUCAGACCCGAAAGCGUGGGGAUCAAACAG
rnacentral:rRNA from 1 species